rnacentral:rRNA from 1 species
UCAGACCGGAGUAAUCCAGGUCAGUUUCUAUCUAUACAUGAGUUUCUUCUAGUACGAAAGGACCGAAGAAACACGGCCCAUAUUUUAACAAGCCGUAGCUAUUAAAUUAUGAUUUAAACUCAAUAAUAUCGUAGCCCAUAAAUUUACUCAAGACAAGAGUCG